rnacentral:rRNA from 1 species
CAGGAGGUUGGCUUAGAAGCAGCCAUCCUUUAAAGAAAGCGUAAUAGCUCACUGGUCUAGUGAUUUUGCGCGGAAAAUAUAACGGGGCUAAAGUAAGUACCGAAGCUGUAGACUUAGUUUACUAAGUGGUAGGAGAGCGUUCUAUUUGCGUCGAAGGUAUACCGGUAAGGAGUGCUGGAGCGAAUAGAAGUGAGCAUGCAGGCAUGAGUAGCGAUAAUUAAUGUGAGAAUCAUUAACG